rnacentral:rRNA from 1 species
GAACGCUAGCUACAGGCUUAACACAUGCAAGUCGAGGGCAGCAUGGUCUUAGCUUGCUAAGGGCCGAUGGGCGACCGGCGCACGGGUGAGUAACACGUAUCCAACCUGCCGUCUACUCUUGGACAGCCUUCUGAAAAGGAAGAUUUAAUACAAGAUGGCAUCAUGAGUCCGCAUGUUCACAUGAUUAAAGGUAUUCCGGUAGACGAUGGGGAUGCGUUCCAUUAGAUAGUAGGCGGGGUAACGGCCCACCUAGUCUUCGAUGGAUAGGGGUUCUGAGAGGAAGGUCCCCCACAUUGGAACUGAGACACGGUCCAAACUCCUACGGGAGGCAGCAGUGAGGAAUAUUGGUCAAUGGGCGAGAGCCUGAACCAGCCAAGUAGCGUGAAGGAUGACUGCCCUAUGGGUUGUAAACUUCUUUUAUAAAGGAAUAAAGUCGGGUAUGGAUACCCGUUUGCAUGUACUUUAUGAAUAAGGAUCGGCUAACUCCGUG